CCUGACCUCGAUUCAAGCGUGAUUACCCGCUGAACUUAAGCAUAUCACUAAGCGGAGGAA
rnacentral:rRNA from 1 species